CAGAAGUAGGAUUUGAAACCACGUUUUGCUGACUCUAGGGCCACUUCUCUACCCGCUUUGCUACAUUGCUUUUCGAGGCAUUUUAUAACAUAAUUUAAUCAGAAGGUUAGCAAUAAAUCAAUGAAAAAGAUGUGUUUCCCUAGCCUGUGACAAAACCAGUUUCUGUGCCAACUCCCUAGUAGUAGGAAGGGCAAAAUUCUGGAACAGACACCUUAUUCCAGGCCUAAGAGGUCAAAGGUAAACAAACAAACCAGGGCUUUUUCACUUACAAAUCUAUCCUAUGCCCUAUCAUCAUCCCCAACCUUUAGAUUCAGCUUCAUGGUAAUACCUGCAGGAACUCAAGAGCUCUAUUCUUCUCUCCUGAUCUAGCAUGGUUUAUACAAGCAGGACAGCAUCUGGCAUUAACUUUGCUCCCAGGCAGUCAGAUUUCCAGUCUCAGAUUUCCAGCUCCCCUUCUCAUCUGACUAAGAGAGUCAAGGAGUUUACCCCUCUGUAAAUCCUGAAUCUACACGUGACCCAGACCUGUCAGCCCACAGAGAGGAAGAGAAAGAUUCCUUUUUGCCAAC
rnacentral:lncRNA from 1 species